UACGUAGGGGGCAAGCGUUAUCCGGAUUUACUGGGUGUAAAGGGAGCGUAGACGGAAUUGCAAGUCUGAUGUGAAAGUCCGGGGCCCAACCCCGGAACUGCAUUGGAAACUGUAUUUCUAGAGUGUCGGAGAGGCAAGUGGAAUUCUUGGUGUAGCGGUGAAAUGCGUAGAUAUCAGGAGGAACACCAGUGGCGAAGGCGGCUUGCUGGACGAUGACUGACGUUGAGGCUCGAAAGCGUGGGGAGCAAACAGG
rnacentral:rRNA from 1 species